CAGCAGCCGCGGUAAGACAGAGGAUGCAAGCGUUACUCGGAAUUACUGGGCGUAAAGCGUGCGUAGGUGGUGGUUUAAGUCCGUUGUGAAAGCCCUGGGCUCAACCUGGGAAUUGCAGUGGAUACUGGGUCACUAGAGUGUGGUAGAGGAUAGUGGAAUUUCCGGUGUAGCAGUGAAAUGCGUAGAGAUCGGAAGGAACAUCUGUGGCGAAGGCGACUAUCUGGGCCAACACUGACACUGAGGCACGAAAGCGUGGGGAGCAAACAGGAUUAGAUACCCGGGUAGUCCCUGUCUCUUAUAA
rnacentral:rRNA from 1 species